GUAGGGGGCGAGCGUUGUCCGGAUUUAUUGGGCGUAAAGAGCUCGUGGGCGGCUUGGCAAGUCGGUCGUGAAAUCCCGAGGCUCAACCUCGGAUCGUCGGUCGAAACUGCCAUGGCUAGGGUCCGGUAGAGGAGAGUGGAAUUCCCGGUGUAGCGGUGAAAUGCGCAGAUAUCGGGAGGAACACCAGUAGCGAAGGCGGCUCUCUGGGCCGGUACCGACGCUGAGGAGCGAAAGCGUGGGGAGCAAACAGGAUUAGAUACCCUGGUAGUCCACGCCGUAAACGUUGGGUACUAGGUGUGGCGAGUUGUACCCAACACUUGCCGUGCCCGCAGCUAACGCAUUAAGUACCCCCGCCUGGGGGAGUACGGUCGCAAGGCUA
rnacentral:rRNA from 1 species